GAUGAAGAACGUAGCGAAAUGCGAUAAGUAAUGUGAAUUGCAGAAUUCAGUGAAUCAUCGAAUCUUUGAACGCAUCUUGCGCUCCUUGGUAUUCUGAGGAGCAUGCCUGUUUGAGUGUCAUUAAAUUCUCAACUACACUGACUUUGAAUUGGUGUGGCUUGGAUUUGGGGGGAAAAUUGUUGUGGGCUUUUUGUAUAGUCUGCUCCCCUGAAAUUGAUUAGCGGUACCUUUGUGGAACUGUCUACAGGUGUGAUAAUUAUCUACAUCUUAGACAUCUGCUGGAAUGCUGAUUUCUAAACCUUACUUGUAUUGACAAUCUUGACCUCAAAUCAGGUAGGACUACCCGCUGAACUUAAGCAUAUCAAUAAGCGGAGGA
rnacentral:misc_RNA from 1 species